GCAGUCGAACGGCAGCAUGAUCUAGCUUGCUAGAUUGAUGGCGAGUGGCGAACGGGUGAGUAAUACAUCGGAACGUGCCCUGUAGUGGGGGAUAACUAGUCGAAAGAUUAGCUAAUACCGCAUACGACCUGAGGGUGAAAGUGGGGGACCGCAAGGCCUCAUGCUAUAGGAGCGGCCGAUGUCUGAUUAGCUAGUUGGUGAGGUAAAGGCUCACCAAGGCGACGAUCAGUAGCUGGUCUGAGAGGACGAUCAGCCACACUGGGACUGAGACACGGCCCAGACUCCUACGGGAGGCAGCAGUGGGGAAUUUUGGACAAUGGGGGCAACCCUGAUCCAGCAAUGCCGCGUGUGUGAAGAAGGCCUUCGGGUUGUAAAGCACUUUUGUCCGGAAAGAAAUCGCACUUACUAAUAUUAGGUGUGGAUGACGGUACCGGAAGAAUAAGGACCGGCUAACUACGUGCCAGCAGCCGCGGUAAUACGUAGGGUCCAAGCGUUAAUCGGAAUUACUGGGCGUAAAGCGUGCGCAGGCGGUUGUGCAAGACCGAUGUGAAAUCCCCGGGCUUAACCUGGGAAUUGCAUUGGUGACUGCACGGCUAGAGUGUGUCAGAGGGGGGUAGAAUUCCACGUGUAGCAGUGAAAUGCGUAGAGAUGUGGAGGAAUACCGAUGGCGAAGGCAGCCCCCUGGGAUAACACUGACGCUCAUGCACGAAAGCGUGGGGAGCAAACAGGAUUAGAUACCCUGGUAGUCCACGCCCUAAACGAUGUCAACUAGUUGUUGGGGAUUCAUUUCCUUAGUAACGUAGCUAACGCGUGAAGUUGACCGCCUGGGGAGUACGGUCGCAAGAUUAAAACUCAAAGGAAUUGACGGGGACCCGCACAAGCGGUGGAUGAUGUGGAUUAAUUCGAUGCAACGCGAAAAACCUUACCUACCCUUGACAUGCCACUAACGAAGCAGAGAUGCAUUAGGUGCUCGAAAGAGAAAGUGGACACAGGUGCUGCAUGGCUGUCGUCAGCUCGUGUCGUGAGAUGUUGGGUUAAGUCCCGCAACGAGCGCAACCCUUGUCUCUAGUUGCUACGAAAGGGCACUCUAGAGAGACUGCCGGUGACAAACCGGAGGAAGGUGGGGAUGACGUCAAGUCCUCAUGGCCCUUAUGGGUAGGGCUUCACACGUCAUACAAUGGUGCAUACAGAGGGUUGCCAAGCCGCGAGGUGGAGCUAAUCCCAGAAAAUGCAUCGUAGUCCGGAUCGUAGUCUGCAACUCGACUACGUGAAGCUGGAAUCGCUAGUAAUCGCGGAUCAGC
rnacentral:rRNA from 1 species